AGCGCAGCUGCUCGCCUGUAGUCCACGCCCCCUCCCCGCCCCGGUGACAGUCUCUGCGGAAAGUCGCGUUUGUGAUUUCUGGAGAGCACCGAGCGGGACUACGGAGGUGCUGCCUGGUCUUUGGGGCCAAGUGACGAGGAAACGCUUUCCUGGCGAACAGCCCCUCCCCACCCCCGCCGCCCUUAGACAGCCCGCACCUUCAGGGUCUGAAGAUGCUGAGCUCUAUGUGGAAUUUUCUAAAACGUCACAAAAAGAAAUGCAUCUUCCUGGGCACAGUGCUCGGAGGAGUAUAUAUCCUGGGAAAAUAUGGACAGAAGAAAAUCAGAGAAAUACAAGAAAGAGAAGCUGCAGAAUACAUUGCUCAAGCACGACGACAGUAUCAUUUUGAAAGUAACCAGAGGACUUGCAAUAUGACCGUGCUGUCCAUGCUUCCAACCCUGAGAGAGGCCUUAAUGCAGCAACUCAAUUCCGAGAGCCUCACGGCUCUGCUAAAAAACAGGCCUUCAAACAAGUUAGAAAUAUGGGAGGAUCUAAAGAUAAUAAGUUUCACAAGAAGUAUCGUAGCAGUAUACAGUACUUGUAUGCUGGUUGUUCUUUUGCGAGUCCAGUUAAACAUAAUUGGUGGAUAUAUUUACCUGGAUAAUGCAGCAGUUGGCAAAAAUGGCACUACAGUUCUUGCUCCCCCAGAUGUCCAACAGCAGUAUUUAUCAAGUAUUCAACACCUCCUUGGAGAUGGCCUGACAGAAUUGAUCACUGUCAUUAAACAAGCUGUGCAGAAGAUUUUAGGAAGUGUUUCUCUUAAACAUUCUUUGUCCCUCCUGGACUUGGAGCAAAAACUCAAAGAAAUCCGAGAUCUCGUGGAGCAGCAUAAACCUUCUUCUUGGGUUAAUAAAGACGGAUCCAAAUCUUUGUUAUGCCGUUAUAUGAUGCCAGACGAAGAAACUCCAUUAGCAGUUCAGGCCUGUGGGCUUUCUCCUAGAGAUGUCACCACUAUUAAACUACUCAAUGAAACCAGAGACAUGUUGGAAAGUCCAGAUUUUAGUACAGUUUUGAAUACAUGUUUAAACCGAGGUUUUAGCAGACUGCUAGACAACAUGGCUGAGUUCUUUCGACCUACUGAACAGGAACUGCAACGUAGCGACUCCAUGAGUAGUCUUUCCAGUGUCAGCCUGCCAUUAGCUAAGAUAAUUCCAAUAGUAAAUGGACAGAUCCAUUCAGUUUGCAGUGAAACACCUAGUCAUUUUGUUCAGGAUCUGUUGAUGAUGGAGCAAGUGAAAGACUUUGCUGCUAAUGUGUAUGAAGCUUUUAGUACUCCUCUACAACUGGAGAAAUGAUUUCUUUUCCUUCAAGAAAAACUACAAUGGAAUUCAUUUACUUUUAAAAAUACACUGAAUGAAUCAACUAUAUAUAGGUAUUAACCCAGGAUUUCAUCCAAGGAAUAUUUGAGACUGAACAGGUGUGGCCUUGUAAAAAAAAAAAAAAAAAAAAAAAAAAAAGGAUCGUAUUCUGAUCAGCUGACAAUUUUCACCUGGAGUCACCUGCGUCUGUGGCGCCGUGGCAGUUGAAGAGAUGAUCAGAGUUGAGCUUUUAAUCAAAGUCAAGUGAGUAUGACAGAGAAAGAGUGUAUGUCAUGGAGAGACAAGCCACAGAAUCUGACCUGGAUAAGGAAAAGGGCUGAGGAACAGAAACAAAGUGAGGGGGUCACAGAUUGGUAUCAUCAGUGGAUUACAGAUCCUUUCGGAAGCCAAAGUGCUAUGUGGAGGGAGCUGAAAUUUAAAAGGUGGUUGGGAGUGGCUCAGUCGGUUGAGCGUUGGACUUCAGCUCAGGUCAUGAUCUCCCAGUCUGUGAGUUCGAGCCCCGUGUCAGGCUCUGUGCUGACGGCUCGGAGCCUGGAGCCUGCUUUGGAUUCUGGGUCUCCCUCUCUCUCUGCCCCUCCCCCACUCAUGCUCUGUCUCAAAAAUAAAUAAAAACAUUAAAAAAAAUUUGUUUUAAAAAGGUGUUUGGGAGACAGCAUAAUGCUUCAAACUGAGAUCAUGGAAUAAGUGCAAUUAUUGGUAAUACAGGAUCUAAGACAUGACCCAGAAAGGAGGUAGCAAAGGUAGAACACACAAGAUGCUCAGAAGAGAGAGUACAAGAACUCAGGGGGCAGCAAAUUUUUAAAAAUGUGAAUACAGGUGUUCAAAUCACUAAGAGUGAUGUUAAGAGUAGUUCUGGGGACAGUGAUCGCGAGCUAGGGCUGAAAUCCUGAAGGAUUCUAAGGACCUGGGAGUCUACAGAUGACUGGGGCAAGGACAGCAGCGUGCCUGGUAGGCUGAAGAACUCCUGCUGUGAGGGGGGAGCAGGGCCACAUGGGGUUUGGGGUUGGUGCGGUCAGCAGGAGCCAGACAAGGGGGCUUCACGGACCUUAUUAAAUAUUUUGGCUGUUAUUUUUAUUUAUUGAGAUAAAAUUUCAUGGAAUAAUAGUUGAUGAUUGUGAAAUCCAUGACCAGACCCCCCUGUCAAAUAUAUGCCCAGAUGCAAAUCCCAAAACCAGAUUUAAACUAGUCUCUGUAAAAUGAAGGACUGGUACUGGGUUCCAACUAUGGCUUCUCCCACACAUUCUAAAAUUCUACAAUGAGUUGCUUCUGUCUAGAUUGCUUUACUUUAUUUUCUUCGAUGAGUUGACAAUUAGUUUUAAGUCAUAAGUAAAGUCAAAGAAGAUUUAGUCUAAUUUUUGGUUUAUACUUGAUCAGGUUGUAUUCACCUGGUGACAACAACGGGUGAAUUUUUAGAGCUUCCCUAUACUACUCUUAUUUAUAUGCGUUAAGACCCAACAUCAAGAACCAUCAUAUUUGCAGAAUGUGAUUCAGAUACUCAUUGGCAUGUGGUACCUUCCAAAGUGCAGACAUAUGCAAAGCUUUUAAAGAAGAUUCUAGUUAAGAGAAAAAUAAGCAAGUUAAAAUAAUUAAAUUUUUUUUUUUCAGUUUGUUUAUUUGAGAGAGACAGAGGCAGUAUGAGUGCGGGAGGGACAGAGAGAGGACAGAGAGAAAAAUCCCAAGCAGGCUCCCCGUGGACAGCGCAGAGCCUGAUGCGGGCUCGAACUCAUGAAACCGCGAGAUCAUGACCUGUGCCAAAACCAAGAGUCAGACGCUGAACUGACUGAGCCGCCCAGGUGCCUCUAAAAUAAUUAAUUAUAAAGAAACUUCAGGUUUAGGGGCACCUGGGUGGCUCGGUCGGUUAGUCAUCUGACUUCGGCCCAGGUCAUGAUCUCACACUUUGUGAGUUGGAGGCCCGCAUCGGGUAGUGGGCUAUCAACACAGUGCCUGCUUCGGAUCCUCUGUCUCCCUCUCUCUUUGCCCCUCCCCUGCUCGUGCUCUCUCUCCCUCAAAAAUAAGUAAACAUUUUUUUAAAAAACUUAAAAAAAAAACUUCAGGUUUAGAUUUAUUAGAAUAAUAUGAACAAAUUAUCAGUUUUUUAUCAAUUAAAAUAAUGCUGUUAUUUGGGCUGAUUUAAAAAAAAAUUUUUUUUGGCACCUCUUCCUUGCUAAUUUCAUACGAUGGAACAUCUGCAGAAAUAAGAAUUAAAUGACUAAAUCAAAGUCUUCCUUUCGGAUUAACCACUCAGCAUCUUUCAUUUUUCUGAAUGGCUUAUGAUUUUUAUAAGAGCUGACUAUUUUUCACUAAAAUUUGCCCACUCUUAGGAAGUUUCUAGAUGGGAUUUAAGCUUGACUGGAUAAACAAUAAGUGUUCAAACACAUGCUGAUUUCUUCUAGAGUAAAUAGCUUGGAAAGUGCUUUGUAUAACAGGCAUGCAUCCAAUUUCCUUUUUAUCCUACUUUUCUCUUUGUAUCUCAGAAAUUUUAAAUGCUUUCCUCCAUCAAAUAAUACUUGCUAACAAGAAUAACUUACCACACGUCUGGGGUGACGUCACUCUGGGACCUCCAAGGGUAGGUUUCAUAAAUAGCUUCUCCAUUGACUUUUAGCCAGGUCCCCAUUUGCCUCAGUCGCUCCUCAAAAAUUACAGGAAUUGUGCCAUCAUAUGUGGGCCCAAUAUUCAUCAAAAGAUUUCCUCCACAUGAAACUGUCUCUACAAGUUCCUAAAAAAUUAAGAAUAAAGUUCUUAGGGAGAUGAAACGAUUCCAUGGCCAAUGUGUUAAUAAUAUGCUGUAUUUGUGUGCUUACACACUCAUAUGUAACCACUGUCCAGAAGAACAAACACAGCAAAUAGAAUAAUGUCCUGUGUUUACAGGCCCCUGAGCUCUACAAAUUAUACGAAGUAAUUCUCACACAUCCACACAAUUGAGAAUAUUACCUUAAUAGUCACCUAACAUUGUACUGUACCUUCACUAGUUCUUCGAUUGUAAGAUAGUCACUGAGUCUGGCAUCUCUCCUGUAACCCCAGGAAAACUUGUCUAUUGUCAUGCAAUUUUCCCAUUUAUGAGGCAGAAGAUGUCCUGGGUGGUAACGAUCACUGCAGGUAUAAUAGCCGCCAUGCUUACAGAUGGUACCGAGUCCCCAACGGUCAUUGGUGACGACUGUGUCCCGAACGGGGCUGAAAUAUAAUUUUUUUUAAUAAAGAAUAAAACAUUUUACAUAAAAGGAAAUGUCACUGAAAAGAAGUCUAACUGAAAUCCACUCCUGAAAAAUCAUCACAGCAUACUAGCAUAAUGCAAAGCCCAUAGUUUUGAAGUCAGACCUGGGUUGGUUGCAAUCCUGGCUCGGUCACUUUCUAAGCUCCCCGCCCCAGAGUCAGUGACCUAACUCCUCUGAAUAAUCUCAUCUGUUAUUAGAUCAGAAAUAAUUUAUGUAGGGGUGCUGGGGUGGCUCAGUCAGUUAAGUGUCCGGCUUUGGCUCAGAUCACGGUCUGGCAGUUUGUGGGUUUGAGGCCCACAUCAGCUCAGAGUCUGGAGCCUGCUUCAGAUCCUGUGUCUCCCUCUCUCUCUACCCCUCCCCCACUCACGCUCUCUGUCUCUCAAAAAUGAAUAAACGUUAAAAAAAAUUUUUUUAAGAGAGAAUUUAUGUAAAACACCUAGUCCUAGCCCAGUACCCAGCACAUACAGCACUUAAAAGAGUAUCACACUGUUAUUUGAAGCUCCUUCUCCCAUGUAUUAUGAAUGAUAGCCAGAAUUGAGUUUACACUCAAAAAAAAUAAAAAAGCGGGGGACUUCUGGGUGGCUCAGUUGGUUGAGCAUCCGACUUUGCCUCAAGUCACCAUCUCACGGCUCGUGGGAACGAGCCCUGCGUCGGGCUCUGUGCUGACAGCUCAGAGCCUGGAGCCUGCUUCAGAUACUAUCUCCCUCUCUCUGUUCCUCCCCAGCUCGCACUCUCUCUCUCUCAAAAAUAAACAUUAAAAUUUUUUUUUAAAAAACAUUCUUCUCACCUCUAACUGAAUAUAGCCUUUCUAUUACAAUUGUGCCUGAUGUUGAAAAUCUCUGGGAAGUUAACUUGCCAUCACUGUGGCAUGAAAUAAUCCCCACAAUGAUAUUAUCAUGAUUUACAAAUUGAAGUGGAUGGUUCCCAGUCUUUCCCCUUGGACAUACCUGGGCAGACUGCUGCCUUAAGUAUCAAGAGCUCUCCAGAGUAUCUGUAUGCACACCCCUUGUGUGUCCAGGGAACACAAGUACAACACUCCCUGAUUUCAUACCACAACACUGAGUAUUUUCUAGUUACAAAUAUAAAUUUGGUCACAAGGUUCAAGACUAACAGAGGAGCUCAGCCAGAACCCCCUGUUCUAAUGGGGCAGUCUGGAACAUGCUAGAAAGCAACAGGUGGUGCUGAUACGGGAAAAGAGGAGGCAGACAAGGGUGACAGUGACUGAGCAGCAAAGAUAUCAAAGAAGAUGAAAAGAAGCAAUUAGAGGAAUUGACAAGCACAUAAUCACAAACAGUGAUGAACUGUUGUCUCAGAAGGGGAAAGGGGGGACCCACAAAUUAACAUCUUCAAAGUUCUUGAUUCUGUGAUUUUAUCUUUUUUUUUUCAGUGAUUUCAAAUUUUUAGUGGUUUUUAGUGAUUUCAAAAUCAGAUCUGAGUUGUAUUUGGCUCCUGAUUUGUAAGUCUUGAUUACUGACUGAUUACUUGGAGUAAAAAUUGAUAUAUCUAGGGGCACCUGGAUAGCUCAGUCAGUUAAGUAUCUGACUUCAGCUCAGGUCAUGAUCUCAUGGUUUGUGAGUUUGAGCCCCACAUUGGGCUCUCUGCUGUCAGCACAGAGCCCACUUCAGAUCCUCUGUCCCCCUCUCUCUGCCUCUCUCUUUCUCUCAAAAAUAAACAUUAAAAAGACCUGAUAUAUCUAAUAAGCAUUAUUUACAAUGAUUUCCCCCUGCCUCACACCAUAGAUAAGCCCAAAAGGGAAUAUUUCACAAAGCAAGGGAACGCAUGUAUGAGGGACAUUUUGGGUCACCAUGGCGAUCUAAUAGCACAUACACCUUUGGUUAUACAGCCAGGCUAAGAAGACCGUGCUGUUCCAGUAGUCAUCAGGGGCAUCUCCAUCACCAUCUGACCACAGGACCUCCGGCUGAUACUUGUUCACUAGCUCGUAGAGUUCUGGCAGCGUCUUGGAAACUGGAAAUUGUUGCUGAUGGAAUGACCUGGACUUAUCCUCAAGGAAGAGUGGAUGAAACCAUUCAAAGAGGGAAUAGUACAGUCCAAAGCGAAGGUCAGUCCUGU